rnacentral:tRNA from 1 species
UCAAUGGUGGUUCAGUGGUAGAAUGCUCGCUUUCCAUGUGGGAGAUCUGGGUUCGAGUCUUGACCAAUGUA